rnacentral:misc_RNA from 1 species
UCUGCGUUACCGCAGCAGUCUGGCGUGACACUUGUAACACACCAUAGGGGUUGCGCUCGUUAAUCCACUUAAGGAGACCUCUCACGAGACGAGCUGACGACAGCCGUGCAUCACCUGUCUAGCGGCCUUGCGGGGUCCUCCGUUUCUGGAGGAUUUCCACUAGAUUUCAAGCCCUGGUGAGGUUUCUCGGUUAGAGUCGAAUUGAACCACAUGAUCCACUGCUUGUGCAAGUUCCCGGCUAUUUCUUUGAGUUUUAAUCUUGCGAUCGUACUUCCCAGGCGGUCGACUUAACGCGUUAGCUUUGCCACUGGAAGGGUCGAUGCUCCCAAUAGCUAGUCGACAUCGUUUAGGGCGUGGACUA